GCCGUGCAAUUCGUCAGCCUCCCCGUGGCGCACAGCGGGCAACGGCGCAGUGCCGGCCAAUGACGAG
rnacentral:ribozyme from 1 species